UAUAUGUACACGAUCAAACAUAUAUGAUAUCAUUCAUGGCAAUAUGGCAUUUUAGACACAUGGUCUGAUUCUUGGGGUGUCCUGUACAGGGCCAGGAGUUGGACACGAUUUUAAUGGGUCCCUUCCAACUCAGAAUAUUCUAUGAUUCUAAUAUACUAGGAAGUAAAAAAUGAAAACAAUUAGUGAUUAGAGUUCUCAUAUUACACUGUACAGGUCGAGGGCCUUUUAAUCAAUGUGUGCUCAGUUUGGAAAACCUCAGCCACACUUAUUUAAGUUUCCCUUUCUCUAGUUCAUUCACCACGCUAGUCACCUUGUUGUAGAAGAUGGUCAGGUCAGUUAGGCAUGAUUUCCCAUUCAUAAAUCUGUGUUGACUAGCCACAAUUACCUUGACCUUUACGUGUUCAGAGACCAUGUGAAUUCCAGAAGGAUUUUCUCUAUGACCUUUCCAGGGACUGAGGUGAGGCUCACUGGCCUGUGGUUCUCCAGAUCUUCCUUCUUGCUCCCCUUGAAGGUAGGAGAGAUGCUUAGUCUCGUCCAGUCUUCAGGAAUCUUACCCAGUCAUCACUGUUAUUUCAAAGCUAAUUGAGAGUGGCCUCGCAGCAACAUCAGCCAGCUCCCUCCACACCCAUGGACACAACCUCUCAUGGACUUAGUCUAUUUGUAGCACAACUUUCUCUGAUGUCAGAUACUGCUGUAAGUUCUCAGCACUUCAACAAAUCUACACCCGGUUACCUAGAGGCAGACAGCAGAAGGAAGAAUAAAAUCAUUGACUAGCUGUAGAAAAAAGAUAUGCCCUUGCAUCAUUCAUGGCCUCCUCUUUGUUUAUUGUCAUAAGCACCAUGCAUUGAAGAGUCUUGCCGAAGGCUACUAUUGCAAAUAAGGCUUAUUAAAAUGAAAAUGCACAAAGAGA